rnacentral:lncRNA from 1 species
CCUUUCCUCCUCCGUAGUGUAGCGUAUGCUGCUGAUCUCUGUUGACACUUGCUAACACCACUUGAAUACUAGGUUGUCAUCCCCAGCAUGGCACUAGAGUGUACUAUGGUAUUUAUACGCACACAGAUAAUCCGCAAGCGCACGGAUACUGUUGAAGCUUUUACCCAAUUAAAGGUUUUAUCGUAUCCACAGGGAAACGGGAGAACCAACUACGCUCUAACUUAACCAAGAUAGAUAGAUAAGUGUAAAUAGGAAAGAUGGUAGAACUGAAUAAGAACAAUAUUAAAGGUGAGAUAACAGUGAGUGAUAAUAUGGGAAUAGAGAGUAGAGCAAUUCUAGUAUAUGGGCGAUGGUAGCAGAAUAGAGAAGAUAACUAUGGUUUCUCUAAUUCAAAGGAGUAUGUCUAUGUCUGGGACGAACCACGUGAUAAGAUUACACCACAAAGGAUGCUUAUCCAUAGGCCGAUAAACCCUACCCGUCCUGCUAACGAGAGGUGGACUAUAGAGGACCAACGUAACUGUCACCUACGCGGCCUACCACACGAUCCAGCUAGACAGGGGAUAUCCACAAGUAAUCUAGGUCUAAGCACCACGCUUACACCUAUACUACAACUCUAACCUAUAGGGUCCUAUAGAUUAGAAGUACUCAAAAGAGCUGUGA